rnacentral:tmRNA from 1 species
GGGCUUCAAAACCGGCCGGACUCCCUCUAUGUUACCUCUGCCGGUCGCAAGACCGGCUAUGGCGAUAAACGGUCUUCGAAAUAAACCUAUCGGACCCGGGGGCGGUACCCGGCGCCUCCACCAAGACCCAGGGCCUUUGGACGCAACGUCCGCAAAAGGGCGGGUUGCCUGGGUUUCGGCGGGGGCGAAAUAGGAUCGACGAGGGCGUAAAGGUAGAGCUUUCGCUCGGCAUGGUUCCGCCGUUAUCGGGCCUCUGCAAUAGUUGCCAAUGACAACUUUGCUCCGGUGGCGGUGGCUGCGUAAGCGGUCCCCAAUACCAAACCAAAGUCCUACCGGUUAGCAUCGGAUAGGCGGGGUUCGGAGGCACCUGGCAACAGAAGCCUCCACU